rnacentral:rRNA from 1 species
AGCGAACGCUGGCGGCAGGCCUAACACAUGCAAGUCGAACGGAUCCUUCGGGAUUAGUGGCGGACGGGUGAGUAACACGUGGGAACGUGCCCUUUGGUUCGGAACAACUCAGGGAAACUUGAGCUAAUACCGGAUGUGCCCUUCGGGGGAAAGAUUUAUCGCCAUUGGAGCGGCCCGCGUCUGAUUAGCUAGUUGGUGAGGUAAAGGCUCACCAAGGCGACGAUCAGUAGCUGGUCUGAGAGGAUGAUCAGCCACAUUGGGACUGAGACACGGCCCAAACUCCUACGGGAGGCAGCAGUGGGGAAUCUUGCGCAAUGGGCGAAAGCCUGACGCAGCCAUGCCGCGUGAAUGAUGAAGGUCUUAGGAUUGUAAAAUUCUUUCACCGGGGACGAUAAUGACGGUACCCGGAGAAGAAGCCCCGGCUAACUUCGUGCCAGCCGCCGCCGCAGUAA